rnacentral:lncRNA from 1 species
CCAACUCUGAGUUUCUUUUCUCAAAAUCUUGCUUAAUGAUCUCUAACUUGGAUGGGAUGACCCGUAAAUGCUCCUCUAUCGUUUGUGUGUUCCCUUGAUUCUGCCUAGGGAUGUUGUCGUUGACUCUCCUACCCCACCACCAUUUAUACUCGGGGGUCGUCAUCGGGCCUGCAGUGAAUCCUUUCAUUCUUCAAGUUUGGUUCCAUGCAUCUGAUAUCUCUCGCACCCUCUUUUUAUAAUUGUUGUCUUUAUAGGGGAACUCAC